rfam:Streptomyces cattleya DSM 46488, complete genome.
CUUGAUCGAACCCAGCCACAGCGGGGUGCCGGACUCGCGGUCGCGUCCGUAGGUGGCCAACAGGGCCUGCGCCUC